rnacentral:rRNA from 1 species
GCUAUCUACGGGGGGCAGCAGUGGGGAAUAUUGCACAAUGGGCGAAAGCCUGAUGCAGCGACGCCGCGUGAGGGAUGACGGCCUUCGGGUUGUAAACCUCUUUCAGUAGGGAAGAAGCGAAAGUGACGGUACCUGCAGAAGAAGCGCCGGCUAACUACGUGCCAGCAGCCGCGGUAAUA